rnacentral:rRNA from 1 species
CCCUGGACAGGCGAUGGAUACUAUUAAGCUAGAGUACGGUAGGGGCAGGGGGAAUUUCCGGUGGAGCGGUGAAAUGCGUAGAUAUCGGAAAGAACACCAAAGGCGAAGGCACUCUGCUGGGCCGAAACUGACACUGAGAGACGAAAGCUAGGGGAGCGAAUGGGAUUAGAUACCCCAGUAGUCCUAGCUGUAAACGAUGGAUACUAAGCGCUGCGCGUAUUAACUCGUGCAGUGCUGUAUCUAACGCGUUAAGUAUCCCGCCUGGGGAGUACGCUCGCAAGAGUGAAACCCGAAGGAGUUGACGGGGGCCCGCACAAGCGGUGGAGCAUGUGGUUUAGUUCCAUGCAACGCGAAGAACCUUACCAGGGAUAGACAUGCCACGAAUCUUUCUGAAAGGAAAGAGUGCCUUAGGGAGCGUGGACACAGCUGGUGCAUGGCUGUCGUCAGCUCGUGCCGUGAGAUGUUGGGUUAAGUCCCGCAACGAGCGCAACCCUCGUGUUUAGUUGCCACAAGGAACCCUAAACAGACUGCCGGUGAUAAGCCGGAGGAAGGUGAGGAUGACGUCAAGUCAGCAUGCCCGUUACAACAUGGGCGACACACGUGCUACAAUGGUUGAGACAAAGGGACGCUACCCCGCGAGGGCAAGCAAAUCUCAAAAACUCAAUCUCAGUUCGGAUUGCAGGCUGCAACUCGCCUGCAUGAAGGCGGAAUCGCUAGUAAUCGCCGGUCAGCCAUACGGCGGUGAAUCCGUUCCCGGGCCUUGUACACACCGCCCGUCACACUAUGGGAGC